ACCCAAAGUGUAUUAUCUUCAACCUGUGG
rnacentral:piRNA from 1 species